GUCAUAUGCUCGUCUUAAGGAUUAAGCCAUGCAAGUCUAAGUAUAAACAAUAAUACAGUGAAACUGCGGAAGGCUCAUUAAAUCAGUUAUAAUCUACUUGAUAAUUAAACCAUGGAUAACUGUAGUAAUUCUAGAGCUAAUACAUGUUUAAAACCCUGACUUUCGGGAAAGGGUGUUUUUACCAUAGGAAAACCGACCGGUAGGGGUAACUUUACCGUAUACGGUGAUUCGAGGUAAAUUCAACUGACCGCAUUACCUUGAGUAGGCGGCAAUACAUUCGAGUUUCUGCCCUAUCAACUUUGAAGGUAGUGUCUUGGACUACCUUGGUGAUAACGGGUGACGGGGAAUUAGGGUUCGAUUCCGGAGAGGGCGCCUGAGAAAUGGCGACUACUUCCAAGGAAGGCAGCAGGCGCGCAAAUUACCCAAUCCCAAUACGGGGAGGUAGCGACAAUAAAUAACAAUACAGGCCUUAACUAAGGCUUGUAAUUGGAAUGAAUACAUUUUAAACCGAUUAAUAAGGAACAAUUGGAGGGCAAGUCUGGUGCCAGCAGCCGCGGUAAUUCCAGCUCCAAUAGCGUAUAUUAAAGUUGUUGUGGUUAAAAAGCUCGUAGUUGGAUUUUGGUUGAGUCUCUACCCGGUCUGUCGGGAGAUAAGCACUGGUAGAGCUCAAUUAAUUCUCCGGGUAACCUCUAUCUGCCCUUAAUUGAGUGGAUUGUUUUGGUUCCCGGUAUUUUACCUUGAAAAAAUUAGAGUGUUUAAAGCAGACGAUUGUCUGAAUAGAUUAGCAUGGGAUAAUAUAAUAUGGCCUCGGUCAAAUUUGUUGGUUUGUUAACCGAGGCAAUGAUUAAUAGAGAUUGUUAGGGGUGUUCAUAUUCUACCGUUAGAGGUGAAAUUCUUGGAUCGGUGGAAGAUGUACUUAUGCGAAAGCAUUCACCAGGGAUGUUUUCAUUAAUCAAGAACGAAAGUUAGGGGAUCGAAGACGAUCAGAUACCGUCGUAGUCUUAACCGUAAACUAUACCGACCAGGGAUUAAGUGACGUUACACGGAUGACUCCCUUAGCACCUUACGAGAAAUCAAAAGUCUUUGGGUUCCGGGGGGAGUAUGGUCGCAAGGCUGAAACUUAAAGGAAUUGACGGAAGGGCACCACCAGGAGUGGAACCUGCGGCUUAAUUUGACCCAACACGGG
rnacentral:rRNA from 1 species